GCCGACGUAGCGUAAUUGGAUAACGCGUAAGUCUUCUAAACUUAAGAUUGCGGGUUCGACCCCCGCCGCCGGUU
rnacentral:tRNA from 1 species